UCUUUGAACUUUCAUCCCGGCAACCGGGCUAGCCCGCUUGUGAGUGUUUAUAUGGAGAAAUUUCCAUCCCGGUAGGCGAGAUCUCGCCUCUUUCAAGCGAGAUCUCGGCAACCGGGCCAGCCCGCUUGUCCAUAUAAACGCACGAUAAUUUUUACUAUAAAAAUAACUACACAGCGAGAUCUCGCUUACCGGGCUGUCUCGCUUAGCGGGCCAGCCCGGCUUCCAUAUAAACAGGCCCUUAGAUUAGAC